rnacentral:misc_RNA from 1 species
UACCAUUAACUGCAGAAUAAAAUCCAUACAGCUGAUCUGCAAUCACUUUUCUGAACUUUAUCUGGAUACAUCUGUCGUUCUUCCAUCGGCUACACUUCUUCCAUUCUUCCAUCUCCCCCGUUUCCCCUUCUCUGUCUCUGUCUUUGUUUUCUUCUCUCUGUGUUUCACAUGCAGAGAGGGGAAUAAAUAUUCAAUCUCUUUGUUUCUGAACAGCCCCUGCCAGUCCGAGAUUUCUCUCUCUGUGUAUAGGAAUGGAGUUAGUUCCUUACACAGACCCGAAUUCAAAGCCAGAAUCCUCUACCGUUCCAUGGCAGGACAUGUUCAGAUCCGCUUCAUUUCGCAAGCCUUCCACAACCAAUCCGGCAAAACCGCCUCCGAAUACAUCCAACACGCCACCGCGCGAGUCAAAUAACAAUAACCCAGAUCACAAUACUACCUUCUCAGGUGAUCCUCAGGUGCGCCUUGCUCUUUACAUAGCCAUGGCCCAUGCCGGCCUUGCCUUUACUAUAUNNNNNNNNNGUGUGCAAGCUUUUGCAAGAGUAUUUGAGGCCUAUUCAAUGGGCUGUAUUGUGUUCUAUUCCUUUGAGAGGGAUACAAGAGACCCUUGUUGAUUUUUGGAGUGAGCCUUUGAAGCUAGGCCUUACUGAGACUGUUCUUGCAGUUCCUGUUGCCAUUUUUAAGGCUUUUGUAGGUACUAUUGGUGAUAUUAAGGAGGGUUUUUUAAGGGUUUUUCUUAAGAGGCCAAAAAGAGGGGGUCCUAGAAGAACUAGAAGAAGUGGAUUUUCAAAGUUAGUUAGGUGGUUAGUGUCAUUUGGGGUGUUUGUGAUAGCCUACGAGAGAAUUGGUGGUAUGGGGUCAUUAUUGAUUCUUGUUUUAGGGUUCAUGUGUAGUACCAAAACUGCGGGUUCUACAUUUUCUGCUGUAUCUUCUUUUAAGAGCAACAGCUUCAAGCGUACUGCAAUCAGUGCAUUUUUCACGAGAGGGAUUUUAAAGAGAUUGAAAACCAUUGUGGCAAUUGGAUUAAUUGUUGGUAUGAUUGUAGGGUUUUUGGCUGGAUUGAUCUUUUUCUCUUAUAAGAUUGGUGUUGAAGGGAAAGAUGCAGUCAUUUCAUUGAAAUUGCAUGUGGAAGAGAAUAAUUAUGCAGAGAGAUUUGGCAUUAAGAAGUGGAUGGAUGAGAAUGAUGUUCCUGGAAAGGUAGAUAAGUACACCACCACCGUCUAUGAAACAGUGUCUGAGCAAAUAGAUAGUUUGGCAAUGCAAUACAAUUUGACGGAGCUUGUCACGGUGAUCAAGCAUUUUGUUAUUAGUACCCCAGCUAAUUCUUCUCAGGAAUCAGCUACGAUGAUGAACCCAUCAUGUUACGCUGAGAAGCUUGUGAGUUUAAGAACCAAAGUUAGUAAUCGCGAAUGGGGAGAAAUUUAUACAGAAUUAGAUGCAAUUUUUAG